UUAACAUCAACCAAAUAAUUCUAGAGAAUAGUGCUUCUCCCCUUACAAGGCUGAUUUGAGUGAAGAUAUUUUCCUCCCCCCAAAAGCUAUUAUGUUUAGCAAAAUGGAAAGGACCCCUGGGCCCGCAGCAGCGGGAAGGCUCGAGGCGCCGCCGGCGAACUCUGGGUCGUUCCGGGGCCCUCAUCUCCUCGCCCGCCCCCAGGAUCCCGCCGAGGCCAGGCCUCCCAACCUCCCACCGAUCCCCGACCAGCGGCCUCUCCGCGACCCCGGCUCACGCCCGCGGCGGCCAGCUUGAGGAUACGGUUGAUGUAGUUCUCCAAAGCGGACGUCAUGCUGUUCGGCCCGGCAGUUCCGGGUAACGCAGCAGUGCGGACAACAAGCAGAACUGAAAGGGCGCGCCAGAACCCGGCAGCGGCUAGCGCCUCUGGCUCGCAGCAAAUAUCGUGAGAGUUGCUGUUCCGCAGCCCUGUGAGUCGUAAUUGGGACGAACUGGCCAACCAAACAGAAGCCGCACAGCGGUGACGAGAGAGUGCGCGUGCGCAGUGUGUUUUCUCUGUAAUUCUGGGCCGUGUUCCGGAAGCCGCGUAAGACAAAAGCGAACGAGAGGCGGAAAAAAGGAAGACGCUUCCUGAAGAUGCUGGACUAGUUUUCAUACUAGAUCCCCUCGUGGCAGCAUUAAGGAACUUCACAUUCUUCUCACACUAUUCAUGGAAAGUUCCUGGAACUCCCACAGCAGCAAGGAAACUUCGCUUGUAGGAGUCCUUAGCACAUCUGUAAAGUUUUAUUGGCCAAAAUGUGAUACAUCUCCAUUUCUGGAUCAAUCACUGUGGUCAAGUGCAAGACGCUCUGCAGGACUCAACCUGGGGAUGAGGUCUGUCCACUCCAUCCAUAUGGUCACUUUAUACUGAGGUUGGGUAAGUACUCCUAAGGAAAUCAGGUUUGUUUUGGUUGGAAAAAAAAAAAAAUGGAAAUGGAUGCUGAGGUAACAGCCAACAAAUAUUUACUAUUUUCUAAGAUGUGUUUGAAACUAAUGCAAAAAAGCUCUGAGAUUAAGAUGUGUAUGUAGCUCAUCAGUUUAGUUGUAUUUCCUAUAUAUAAUAUUUAUGGUACCUAAACUAUUACUAAAAUGUUUAUUAUUUUAUUUAAAAUUUGGUUGAGGUUUUCUAUAUCAUCCUAAACCUAAGUUUGGAAAUAAAGAUUUAAUGCUAUAUGACAGGUACAAUUGCUAUCUUUUAGUGAAAAGUCCUAAAAAUCUUAUGGUUGAGAAUACAAUAUUUACUUUCUGGAAGCUCUGCUCACAAACUUUCUGGACAAAGAGCAUUAUCCACAAUCACUGCUAACUAAAAGGAUAGAGAAACUUUUCUUAGGCUUUCCUCCAGGAUUGUCUGUACUUAAUCAGCUCCCCUAUAUAUUCUCAAAUAGCCUCUGAAAAUAUACCCUUUGUCCCUUUUUCAAUAAAUCCCAUAAUUCUUUAUUUUUUCUUCCUCAUAGUUACUUUCAGACAUUUACGAUGUCUUAAGAGUAUUAUACAAAUUGAAUAGAAUGAAUUGUGCAAAAUAACAAUAUGUUGUAGGUCCAAAAGAACUAUAUCUUUUAUGUCUGAGAAAAAGUUUUAAAAUCAGCACCUACACAGCAAUAAAUGGUUUAAUGAUAGCCUUUUAAGUGCACCAUCAGAGCUCUUUUAUAGAAUUUUGUGAAAGACAUACUAGAUAAUUUCCAUGGAAGUUGGUCUCAUUUAAAUGAUACUAUCCUAAGGAACAUUUCAUAUAAACAACUCAUAUUUUCUUUAAGUUUCUUUUAAAGGUUGAGCUGACAGUCACAUCAGGAUUUGAUAAGUCAGAGCAGUGCUGACAUUAUUACAAGGUAAUACUUUUGCAAUCAUCAGCAACAGGAUAGGACUGCAGAACUGUAACAGACUUUGCAUGAAAAAAUACAAAAUAAUAUCAUGUUUGAGCAGUUGUGAUAAUAAAUGAUGGCAUAUCAGUGUAGAGGUAGUAGUGAAACAAAUGAAUUAUUAAAGAAUAUUAUUUUUAAAUAUAUUAAAGAAUAUAAAGAAUAUAACAUC